rfam:Heterocephalus glaber contig63114, whole genome shotgun sequence.
UGGCGCCCAAUGUGGGGCUGGAGAACGGGGGAUCCAGUGAAGAACGUUGCUCGGGGGCCCAAUAAAAUAUAAGAGACAAAUAAAAUAGAAAAAAGAGGAUUGUGUCUGACGUGAACCUGCCAUCUUUCCUGCACCUCGGUGAGUUGAGCAGCGAUUAUGGGACAGGUGAUUAGCCAACAUGAGUUGUUUGUAGAAGGUCUUAAAAAAAAAAAAACUUUGUCAAACAUUUGUUAAAAUUUUUUUUAUUAUAUUAGAGAUCUCUGCCCUU